GCUACAGGCUUAACACAUGCAAGUCGAGGGGCAUCAGGAUGUAGCAAUACAUUGCUGGCGACCGGCGCACGGGUGAGUAACACGUAUCCAACCUGCCUUUUACUCGGGGAUAGGCUUUCGAAAGAAAGAUUAAUACCCGAUGGUAUAAUAUUUCCGCAUGGGAUUAUUAUUAAAGAAUUUCGGUAAAAGAUGGGGAUGCGUUCCAUUAGGCAGUUGGCGGGGUAACGGCCCACCAAACCUUCGAUGGAUAGGGGUUCUGAGAGGAAGGUCCCCCACAUUGGAACUGAGACACGGUCCAAACUCCUACGGGAGGCAGCAGUGAGGAAUAUUGGUCAAUGGGCGAAAGCCUGAACCAGCCAAGUAGCGUGAAGGAUGACUGCCCUAUGGGUUGUAAACUUCUUUUAUAGGGGAAUAAAAUGAGCCACGUGUGGCUUUUUGUAUGUACCCUAUGAAUAAGCUCCGGCUAACUACGUGCCAGCAGCCGCGGUAAUACGUAGGGAGCAAGCGUUAUCCGGAUUUAUUGGGUGUAAAGGGUGCGUAGACGGGAAUGCAAGUUGGUUGUGAAAUCCCUCGGCUCAACCGAGGAAUUGCAACCAAAACUAUAUUUCUUGAGUGCUAGAGAGGAAAGUGGAAUUCCUAGUGUAGCGGUGAAAUGCGUAGAUAUUAGGAGGAACACCAGUGGCGAAGGCGACUUUCUGGACAGUAACUGACGUUGAGGCACGAAAGUGUGGGGAGCAAACAGGAUUAGAUACCCUGGUAGUCCACACCGUAAACGAUGGAUACUAGGUGUAGGGGAUGAAUAAUCUUCUGUGCCGUCGCAAACGCAGUAAGUAUCCCACCUGGGGAGUACGGCCGCAAGGUUGAAACUCAAAGGAAUUGACGGGGGCCCGCACAAGCAGUGGAGUAUGUGGUUUAAUUCGACGCAACGCGAAGAACCUUACCAGGGCUUGACAUAUACAUGAAAAUCUAAGAGAUUAGAUCCCUCUUCGGAGCAUGUAUACAGGUGGUGCAUGGUUGUCGUCAGCUCGUGUCGUGAGAUGUUGGGUUAAGUCCCGCAACGAGCGCAACCCCUGUUCUUAGUUGCCAGCAUGUAAAGAUGGGAACUCUAAGAAGACUGCCGGUGAUAAAUCGGAGGAAGGUGGGGACGACGUCAAAUCAUCAUGCCCUUUAUGUCCUGGGCUACACACGUACUACAAUGGCUGUAACAAAGGGAAGCGAACCCGCGAGGGGAAGCAAAACCCAUAAAAGCAGUCUCAGUUCGGAUUGAAGGCUGAAAUUCGCCUUCAUGAAGCCGGAAUUGCUAGUAAUGGCAGGUCAGCAUACUGCCGUGAAUACGUUCCCGGGCCUUGUACACACCGCCCGUCACACCAUGAGAGUUGGGGAUACCCGAAGCCUGUGAGCUAACUGUAAAGAGGCAGCAGUCGAAGGUAGAAUCAAUGAUUGGGG
rnacentral:rRNA from 1 species